rnacentral:rRNA from 1 species
AAAGUGGAGCAAUCCAUGAGUAAAGUGGCGCACGGGUGAGUAACACGUGACUAACCUACCCAGGAGUGGGGGAUAACUGAGGGAAACCUUAGCUAAUACCGCAUAACACCUACGGGUCAAAGGAGCAAUUCGCUUCUGGAGGGGGUCGCGGCCGAUUAGUUAGUUGGCAGGGUAAUGGCCUACCAAGACGAUGAUCGGUAUCCGGCCUGAGAGGGCGCACGGACACACUGGAACUGAAACACGGUCCAGACUCCUACGGGAGGCAGCAGUGGGGAAUUUUGCGCAAUGGGGGAAACCCUGACGCAGCAACGCCGCGUGGAGGAUGAAGUCCUUCGGGACGUAAACUCCUUUCGAUCGGGACGAUAAUGACGGUACCGGAAGAAGAAGCCCCGGCUAACUUCGUGCCAGCAGCCGCGGUAAUACGAGGGGGGCAAGCGUUGUUCGGAAUUAUUGGGCGUAAAGGGUGCGUAGGCGGUUUGGUAAGUCUGAUGUGAAAUCUAUGGGCUCAACUCAUAGUCUGCAUCGGAAACUGCCGGGCUUGAGUAUGGGAGAGGUGAGUGGAAUUCCUGGUGUAGCGGUGAAAUGCGUAGAUAUCAGGAGGAACACCUGUGGCGAAAGCGGCUCACUGGACCAUAACUGACGCUGAUGCACGAAAGCUAGGGGAGCAAACAGGAUUAGAUACCCUGGUAGUCCUAGCCCUAAACGAUGACUGCUUGGUGUGACGGGUACCCAAUCCCGCCGUGCCGUAGCUAACGCGUUAAGCAGUCCGCCUGGGGAGUACGGUCGCAAGGCUGAAACUC